ACCGCUGGAAAGGAUGAAUUUAAUCAACUUAAUGCCGAUUGAGAAUUAUUUUAAAUAGUGGAAAAUCAAUCCAAGCAAAACAAAAAACGUCAGCCAAAUCAUGACAAACCCAACGUAUGAACUGCUGGAACUUGUAUUAUUUCAUAGAAGGCUCACUCUCGCUCGUGUCAGACAUGUCGGUGGGGAUCAUGUCCGCGUCCUCCGCACCCGUGCCAAGACCCGACCCGUUCACUGCGAAACAUAAAAGUUUAAUGGAACAGCUUCGAAACCAAACCAUUACCAGUGGGAUGCUCCUUUGCACAGGAUGCCGGCUAGAUUAUGGGUACCACAACGGCGCCUAUUUCUGCUGUGAAGCGUGUAAACAUAACUGUGAUUCAGCCUGCAGGGCGCCGUAGCUAGUGAAAUUACUGGACAAAUGUGACUUAACAUCUUAUGUCUCAAGGUGACGAGCGCAGUUGUAGUGCCACUCAGAAUUUUUGGGGUUUUCAAGAAUCCAGAGCGGCACUGCAUUGUAAUGGACAGGGCGCAUCAAUUAGCAUCAGCUGAACGUUCUGCUCGUCUCGUCCCUUUUUUUCAUUAAAAAAAAACAGAUCUUGAAGAUUAAGAGCUAUAUUUUACCGGGACAACACGGUUGCGCAUCCAGUCAUCGCUACCAACAAAAUGUAUAUAGCUUCAUAGAGUGUUACUCACUUGGUGUCCUUUCUUACCCUACUUAAAUAUAGGAAUAGUGCUAUCUCUUCGAGCAAGGGCGUGCAUAUCAUAUAGGCAAUUAGGCAGUGCCUAUCACGUAAUAACAAACCGAAAUAAAUAUAGCACAAGUGUUAAACUUCUAUUCUACUAUAACCAAACUUCUAUGAACAUCCACUUAUAUAAUUUUACUUUACGCUAGAUACCUACUAUAAAAAUGGCUCUGUCGUAAAUACUAUUACUCCACAGCUGAAUAUCAAGUGAUCGGACGGCCUGGCACUAGAUUAUGAUUAUUUUAUGGCAAUAGCAAUGACAGUACAAUAUUGUAUGUUUUUAUUAAAAAGAGCGCAAAAAAAUAAUACUGGGAGAGUUUCUUGCGCCAAUUCUUCUCUCUCAGAGCGCCAUUUGCUUCCGAAGCGGUAGUAAUACCUAGUAUAUUAGAAAUGACAUCAAAAAAUUCUAAAGGAAUCAAUUUUGAGAAAAUAAAUGCCUUUUAUAAGCAAACAUUGCACAUUCCAAAGCUCGACUACGAAUAGUUAGAUCUACAGUGCCUACCUUGCUAGAAAAACCUAUGCACGCCCCUGUUUUCGAGGUACAUUUUGAUACCGUCUCAUGUGUAGACCACACGUGACUCUGGUGUCUAGUUUGGUAGAUUACGGACGCAACCAGUCGCGCCACUGAGGUGUUCCGGCGAAAUAAGGCCCUAAAAGCGCUAACGCAUCAUCAUCAACGCUCAUCAGCCAAGUCCCGAUGACCACUUUCUCGGCUAGUACGUAGCCGGAGGACCUUGGUCGGCGAGCGCGUGAAAUAAGCAAUCAAUUGCUGUCUUUCAUCUCAAAAUACACUGGGCCGCGACCUGGCUGCAAGUGUGUAAGAAGCCUUAAGCAAAUAGAACAAAGAGGAGAGUAGAGAUGUUAUAAUUAUUAUUAUAAAGAAAAAGAACAUAAGACGGGGCUACUGGGGCGUGCAUUGAGCCCAUGCCGAACUACCAAAGAACAAAGAUAUCGGUCGCAUGAUAAUACAAAAUUAUGAUUGAUUCCCAUUUAAGUGACUUUUAUAACAUAUUCAAAAUAAAAAGCUUCCUGCUUUAAAAUCUUAAGAUUGAAUGCGCAAUGUGAAAAACACUUACAUCCGUUAUAUCCUUAGCGGACAAGGAGAAUCUCAACAAAAGUGGUGAGGUCAAGAAAUAGCGGUACUCACACAGCGGCGGUGAAGAUUCCCUGGCGUCUCUCAGUUCCCGAGCGAGGUCCAUGGACGAGUUAUCCACCGCAUCCUGGAAAACCCGCAAAUUUAAAUACUUAAUAUAUAGAAUGUAUUUAAACAUACACUUAUUUAAUACUCGUGAGCACGCCAUAAAAUUUGCCCAUGGGAAAA